AAAAAAUAGAAACGUAUGUUCCUUAAACUGUUAAAAGUUCACAAAAACCAAAUAAAUCAGAGGGUAACCACACGAUAUUGGAUGAUCUAGUGUGAUUGUGCCGAUCGGGCAUUUCAGAGGUUACAAUUUGACUCGUGUGGUUGUCUCAGACCGCAUGGUGUAUUAAGUGUUCAUCACUGACGCCAUUUUUAGUGCGCGUGCCUGU